rnacentral:rRNA from 1 species
UCGAGAAUCUUCGGCAAUGGGCGCAAGCCUGACCGAGCGACGCCGCGUGGAGGAUGAAGGCCUUCGGGUUGUAAACUCCUGUCGAGGGGGAGGAAGGGGCAACCUUGACCUAUCCCUGGAGGAAGCACGGGCUAAGUUCGUGCCAGCAGCCGCGGUAAGACGAACCGUGCGAACGUUAUUCGGAAUCAUUGGGCUUAAAGCGCGUGUAGGCGGAUGGGAACGUCGGUGUUGAAAGCCCCCGGCUCAACCGGGGAAUUGGCUCCGAAACGACCCGUCUGGAGGGGCAUAGGGGGAUCUGGAACUUCCGGUGGAGCGGUGAAAUGCGUUGAGAUCGGAAGGAACGCCCGUGGCGAAAGCGAGAUCCUGGAUGUCUUCUGACGCUGAGACGCGAAAGCUAGGGUAGCGAACG